UACGAAAGGUGCAAGCGUUACUCGGAAUCACUGGGCGUAAAGCGCACGUAGGCGGUUUGUUAAGUCGGAUGUGAAAUCCCUCGGCUCAACUGAGGAAGUGCAUCCGAAACUGGCAAGCUUGAGUACGAAAGAGGGUCGCGGAAUUCCCGGUGUAGAGGUGAAAUUCGUAGAGAUUGGGUGGAACACCAGUGGCGAAGGCGCCUAUCUGGCUGACAACUGACGCUGAGACUCGAAAGCAUGGGGAGCAAACAGG
rnacentral:rRNA from 1 species